CGGGCUUGAACUGCAGGAGAACGAUACAGAGAUGUUGAGGCCCUUCGGGGCUCCUGUGGAGGUGCUGCAUGGUUGUCGUCAGCUCGUGCCGUGAGGUGUCGGCUUAAGUGCCAUAACGAGCGCAACCCCUGUCUUCAGUUGCCAUCAGGUCAAGCUGGGCACUCUGGAGAUACUGCCACCGCAAGGUGCGAGGAAGGUGGGGAUGACGUCAAAUCAGCACGGCCCUUACGUCCGGGGCUACACACGUGUUACAAUGGCGUGUACAGAGAGUCGGUCCUUGGCAACAAGGGUCUAAUCGACAAAACACGUCUCAGUUCGGAUUGGGGUCUGCAACCCGACCCCAUGAAGCUGGAUUCGCUAGUAAUCGCGCAUCAGCCAUGGCGCGGUGAAUACGUUCCCGGGCC
rnacentral:rRNA from 1 species